UUACGAUGAUGAUGAUGAUGAUGAUGAUGAUGAUGAUGAUGGUAAUGAAUACCAGCAUCAUCAUCAUCAUCAUCAUCAUGAUUAUGA
rnacentral:pre_miRNA from 1 species